GACGAACGCUGGCGGCGUGCUUAACACAUGCAAGUCGAACGAAGUGGCGAACGGGUGAGUAAUACGUGGGUAACCUGCCCUCCUUUUUGGGAUAAGCCUUGGAAACGGGGUCUAAUACCGAAUAAAGGGGGCUGGGCUCGCGGCCUAUCAGCUUGUUGGUGGGGUGAUGGUUUCGCAAGGCGGUGACGGGUAGCCGGCCUGUGAGGGUGACCGGCAGCAUUGGGACUGCGAGACGGCCCAGACUCUGACGGGGGGCAGCAGUGGGGGAUAUUGCACAAUGGGCGAAAGACUGAUGAAGCGGCGGCGCGUGGGGGAUGAAGGCUUUCGGUUUGUAAACCUCGUUCGAUAUCGAAAGGGUAGGUGGAGAAGAAGCGCCGGCUAACUACGGGCCAGCUGCCGCGGUAAUAC
rnacentral:rRNA from 1 species